UACGGGGGGAGCAAGCGUUGUUCGGAUUUACUGGGCGUAAAGGGCGCGUAGGCGGCCACCGCAAGUCAGUUGUGAAAUCUCUGGGCUUAACCCAGAAAGGUCAACUGAUACUGCGGGGCUAGAGUGCAGAAGGGGCAACUGGAAUUCUCGGUGUAGCGGUGAAAUGCGUAGAUAUCGUAAGGAAGACCAGUGGCGAAGGCGAAUCUCUGGACAGUUACUGACACUGAGGCACGAAGGCCAGGGGAGCAAACGGG
rnacentral:rRNA from 1 species